AUGGCAAUUGUCCAUACCUACGGGAAGCCUGACAUCUUCUUGACCAUGACCUACAACCCUAACUGGGAAGAGAUAACGAAUGAGUUGUUUCCUGGUCAGACAGCACAAGACCGACCUGAUCUUGUGGCUCGUGUGUUCCAUGGCAAGCUAGAGGCUAUGAAAGAGAUGUUGUUCAAGAAGAAUAUCCUGGGUGUUGUUGUCGCACAUGCAUACGUAGUCGAGUUCCAGAAGAGGGGCCUC
rnacentral:rRNA from 1 species